rnacentral:rRNA from 1 species
UACGGAGGGUGCAAGCGUUAAUCGGAAUGACUGGGCGUAAAGGGUGCGUAGGCGGUUAGAUAAGUUAUCUGUGAAAUACCCGGGCUCAACCUGGGAAUGAAAGAUAAGACUGUGUAACUGGAGUGUGGUAGAGGGUAGUGGAAUUUCCGGUGUAGCGGUGAAAUGCGUAGAGAUCGGAAGGAACACCAGUGGCGAAGGCGACUAUCUGGACCAACACUGACGCUGAGGCACGAAAGCGUGGGGAGCAAAC